AGAUUGAACGCUGGCGGCAUGCCUUACACAUGCAAGUCGAACGCGAAAGCGGGGCAACCCGCAAGUAGAGUGGCGAACGGGUGAGUAAUACAUCGGAACAUUUCCAGUAGCGGGGGGAUAACCUGUCGAAAGAUAGGCUAAUACCGCAUACGACCUACGGGUGAAAGCGGAGGACCGCAAGGCUUCGCACUAUUGGAGUGGCCGAUGUCGGAUUAGCUAGUUGGCGGGGUAACGCCCACCAAGGCGACGAUCCGUAGCUGGUCUGAGAGGACGAUCAGCCACACUGGAACUGAGACACGGUCCAGACUCCUACGGGAGGCAGCAGUGGGAAUUUGGACAAUGGGCGCAAGCCUGAUCCAGCCAUGCCGCGUGAGUGAAGAAGGCCUUCGGGUUGUAAAGCUCUUUCGGUGGGAAGAAAUGGUACGUGCUAAUACCACGGACUGAUGACGGUACCGAAGAAGAAGCACCGGCUAACUACGUGCCAGCAGCCGCGGUAAUCUA
rnacentral:rRNA from 1 species